AUUGAACGCUGGCGGCAGGCCUAACACAUGCAAGUCGAGCGAGCGGCGGACGGGUGAGUAAUGUCUGGGAAACUGCCUGAUGGAGGGGGAUAACUACUGGAAACGGUAGCUAAUACCGCAUACCAUCAGAUGUGCCCAGAGGGGAUUGGCUAGUAGGUGGGGUAACGGCUCACCUAGGCGACGAUCCCUAGCUGGUCUGAGAGGAUGACCAGCCACACUGGAACUGAGACACGGUCCAGACUCCUACGGGAGGAAGCAGUGGGGAAUAUUGGACAAUGGGCGAAAGCCUGAUGCAGCAAUGCCGCGUGGGUGAAGAAGGCCGUCGGGUUGUAAAGCACUGUCAGCGGGGAGGCGUUACCCGAAGAAGAAGCACAGGCUAACUCCGUGCAAGAAGACGCGGUAAUUC
rnacentral:rRNA from 1 species